rnacentral:rRNA from 1 species
AUUAGAUCCCCUGGUAGUCCACGCCGUAAACGGUGGGCGCUAGUUGUGCGAACCUUCCACGGUUUGUGCGACGCAGCUAACGCAUUAAGCGCCCCGCCUGGGGAGUACGAUCGCAAGAUUAAAACUCAAAGGAAUUGACGGGGCCCCGCACAAGCAGCGGAGCAUGCGGCUUAAUUCGACGCAACGCGAAGAACCUUACCAAGGCUUGACAUAUACAGGAAUACGGCAGAGAUGUCGUAGCCGCAAGGUCUGUAUACAGGUGGUGCAUGGUUGUCGUCAGCUCGUGUCGUGAGAUGUUGGGUUAAGUCCCGCAACGAGCGCAACCCUCGUUCUGUGUUGCCAGCAUUAAGUUGGGGACUCACAGGAGACUGCCGGGGUUAACUCGGAGGAAGGUGGGGAUGACGUCAAA